GUUUUGCUCACUUGUGUUUUUAGGAACUGGAGAUGAGUGCUAGCAAGAUUGCAGGUUUUACGCAGUGCACAUCCUAUUGCAUGUAUGCAUGCCUGGAUGAAUCUGUCCAGGGUCCAUACCUCUGCAGCGCGUGUAAAUGAGUGGCUUCUCUGGAAGCUCAGAUUGGAGAUCUGGAGAGGCAAAUUGCAACACUGAGGGAGAUUGACAAUCUUGAGAGGAGUCUGCUGCUCACUGAGCAGAGUUUAGUGGGGGCAGGCAGUGGAGUAGGAGGAGAUGAGACAGCUGGU